UACGUAGGGUGCGAGCGUUGUCCGGAAUUAUUGGGCGUAAAGAGCUCGUAGGCGGUCUGUCGCGUCGAUCGUGAAAAACUUGGGGCUUAACCCCUGAGCUUGCGGUCGAUACGGGCAUGACUGGAGUUCGGCAGGGGAGACUGGAAUUCCUGGUGUAGCGGUGAAAUGCGCAGAUAUCAGGAGGAACACCGGUGGCGAAGGCGGGUCUCUGGGCCGAUACUGACGCUGAGGAGCGAAAAGCGUGGGGGAGCGAACAGG
rnacentral:rRNA from 1 species